UACGGAGGGUGCAAGCGUUAAUCGGAAUUACUGGGCGUAAAGCGCGCGUAGGUGGCUAAGUCAGCCAGGUGUGAAAGCCCCGGGCUCAACCUGGGAACGGCAUCUGGAACUGCUUGGCUAGAGUGCAGGAGAGGAAGGUAGAAUUCCCGGUGUAGCGGUGAAAUGCGUAGAGAUCGGGAGGAAUACCAGUGGCGAAGGCG
rnacentral:rRNA from 1 species